GGUGCUGUGGACUAAUUGGAUAGGCUGGCUCCACUGAAUGGAGCAAGUGCGGAUUCGAAUCCCUCCGGCGCCC